GGAGGAGAAGAAGAAGAAGAAGAAGAAAAGGAAGAAAAGGAAGAAGAAAAGAAGAGAGAGAGUAAAGAAAGCCAGUGAGGGUUGCAGGCAGUUAUCUGGGAACACAGGAAACGGGCUCCAGAGAAUCUCAGCACCCAGUGCCUUGCCCUGAAGCUGGCUUCUUCCCACUCCUGACCCUCACUGGGCCUACCCACAUCUGUAACAUCUGUAACUUGGGGUACUGCAAGGCCAUAGAGCAGAGGGAGGGAGGUUCCUUACCAGAUGCCUUUGCUGGAUGACUUGCACAGACUGUCACUUACAAGCACACCACCGGAUCCCUCGUGGUAUCCAUACUGAGAGGGUCCAUGGGGCUCAAAGAGACAAACACUCAGACCUGAGCACCAGGAAGGAGGCAGUGGAAGGAAUGGAAUGGAGGACCACAAGGCAGGAAGACCAGCAUGGUGCCAGUCUCAGAAUCUCCCAAGCAGAUGGAAGAAGGUAGGCAUAGAGAAGAGAUAGGGAAAUCAUUUCACUUUCUCAUAUACCUCCUCCC
rnacentral:lncRNA from 1 species